UACGUAGGGUGCAAGCGUUAAUCGGAAUUACUGGGCGUAAAGCGUGCGCAGGCGGCGGCUCAAGUCAGGUGUGAAAUCCCCGGGCUUAACCUGGGAAUUGCGCUUGAAACUAGGUCGCUAGAGUGUGGCAGAGGGGGGUGGAAUUCCACGUGUAGCAGUGAAAUGCGUAGAGAUGUGGAGGAACACCGAUGGCGAAGGCAGCCCCCUGGGUCAACACUGACGCUCAUGCACGAAAGCGUGGGGAGCAAACAGG
rnacentral:rRNA from 1 species